CCAACAGGGAUUGCCCUAGUAACGGCGAGUGAAGCGGCAACAGCUCAAAUUUGAAAUCUGGCCCUAGGCCCGAGUUGUAAUUUGCAGAGGAUGCUUCGGGCGCGGCGCCUUCCAAGUCCCCUGGAACGGGGCGCCUAAGAGGGUGAGAGCCCCGUACGGUCGGACGCCUAGCCUGUGUGAAGCUCCUUCGACGAGUCGAGUAGUUUGGGAAUGCUGCUCAAAAUGGGAGGUAGACCCCUUCUAAAGCUAAAUACCGGCCAGAGACCGAUAGCGCACAAGUAGAGUGAUCGAAAGAUGAAAAGCACUUUGAAAAGAGGGUCAAAAGCACGUGAAAUUGUUGAAGGGGAAGCGCUUGUGACCAGACUUGCGCCGGGGCGAUCAUCUGGCGUUCUCGCCGGUGCACUCGCCCCGGCUCAGGCCAGCGUCGGUUUGGGAGGGAGGACAAAGGCGUCGGGGACGUGGCUCCCUCGGGAGUGUUAUAGCCCGGCGCGUCAUGCCCCCUCCCGGACCGAGGUUCGCGCUCUGCAAGGACGCUGGCGUAAUGGUCACCAGCGGCCCGUCUUGAAACACGGACCAAGGAGUCGAGGUUCUGCGCGAGUGUUUGGGUGUCAAACCCGCACGCGUAAUGAAAGUGAACGUAGGUGAGAGCUUCGGCGCACCACCGACCGAUCCUGAUGUUCUCGGAUGGAUUUGAGUAAGAGCGUUGGGCCUCGGACCCGAAAGAUGGUGAACUAUGCUUGGAUAGGGUGAAGCCAGAGGAAACUCUGGUGGAGGCUCGCAGCGGUUCUGACGUGCAAAUCGAUCGUCAAAUCUGAGCAUGGGGGCGAAAGGCAAGUGACACCAAA
rnacentral:rRNA from 1 species